rnacentral:rRNA from 1 species
GACGAACCGUGCGAACGUUGUUCGGAAUCACUGGGCUUAAAGGGCGCGUAGGCGGCUUGUCAAGUCAGGGGUGAAAUCCGGCAGCUUAACUGUCGAAGUGCCUCUGAUACUGACGAGCUCGAGGGAGGUAGGGGUCUGUGGAACUUCUGGUGGAGCGGUGAAAUGCGUUGAUAUCAGAAGGAACGCCGGUGGCGAAAGCGACGGACUGGACCUUUUCUGACGCUGAGGCGCGAAAGCUAGGGGAGCAAACAGG